UGCACAGCCUCGCACUGCAGGGGACGGGGGGACGGUCAGGGACAGCAAGCGUGGCUCCACGGGGUGGCCACGGUGUCACCUCGGCACUCACCUUGUCCACGGGCUCGAUGAGGAAGUCGUUGAAGAGUUACCAGGGAAAGGAGGGUGUGACGGUGCCAUGUGGGAACCCCCGCCCUUCCUGGGACACCGUGGGGAAAUCCCUGCUGCCCUGGGUGGUGACAGAGGACGAGAAAGGAUUGGGCUGGACGGGCUCCGGGCUCUGCCCAGCUCCUGAGCAAAACUCCAGGGAGAUGCAAGAGAUAAGAGACAGGCAUGGAGCCUUGACACACUCUGGGAACUCCUGCCUUGGGCAUCUCCAGCAGAAACCAGGACUGCCCAGACCAGCCCUUUCCUCGGGAAGGGAGAUGACGUCCCUGGCCUUACCUGGAAGUACAAGGACAAGCUGGCACAGUGCCCGUGGCCAAGAGGAACCAGCCUGAGAGGGUGUGGGAAGAAGAUUUCUUCAACCCUUCCCUCCCCGUGAGGGGCCCCAGCAGCUUUUGGCACGUUCAGCCAAACCCUCCACACUUGGCUGAGAGAGCCAGGAAUGACAGAUCUCCCUCGGGGGGGGCUCCCAGGAGCUGGCUGCCCCCCGUGCGGGAAUCCAGGAUGUGGACAACGGUGGCCAUGAGGUCGUAGAUGUACACGGACUCGGGGUCGUCUGUUGGGCUCAGCUGCGGGAGGAACCGGGAAUGUCCGAGCCCCCAAACCACCAGCCCGGAUAUU